rnacentral:lncRNA from 1 species
GGCAGAAGCAAGAGGAUAUUUUCUCUGAUAUUUACUGUGAGAACCUAGUUCAGUUCCUGGAGAUAAAACUCACAAAAUUGUGGGGAUCCCCAUAUGACUGACCACCCCCUGCUGCCUCCAGAGUUUUAAAGUCUCAGAUUGGUCCACACUGUGCUGCUAGCAAUUCAUCAAUUUCAGGAAAAGCCACAUCCAAGGGGAUUCCUUUUGUUACUGAGUUGUGCCAGCUAGGGGACAAGGUGACACAGAAUAUGUACAGACAAAAACAAGUAUGCUAAUGAAAUUUCUUCAAAUACUACAAACAAUUAGUGAAGACUGCUACUAUAGGCUGCUGCUGUAUUUUUAAGAGGCUCAACUUCAAAUACUUCAACCUUUUAUGGAAAGAUGGAAACACACAACAAACUAUGUGUAAGUACUCUUAGGGUACUUAGAGGAGACAAUGACACUGCUUUUAAGUCCAGUUGAAAGGUCACAUACUACCUCCACUGCCUUAGACUAAUGCCUAAGACCCUUUGCUCAAAGAAACCAAGAGGCUUGUAUUCUAAAAAUAGAGGCAAGGGGGGUGGGGCAGCAUGGAGGAAAAGAAAUGGCCAAAACAGAUCAGAGAAAGUGUUAAAAGCUGGCUGGAAAGGCCUUAAAUGACCCAGUUCAAGGUCCCCCUUUUACAGAUAAGGAAACUGUGACCCAAAGAGAUGAAAACCUAUAAACUAUGUCAUUCAAUGUCAUAAAGAUUAUGAGGAAGAGGAAGAAGAUCCAAGUUUCAGGCCUUCUUUCCUUCCAGUUCCAUUCACUUUCCAUUAUCUCUUUUUUCCCCCACCACUGUGUUUUACUUCAUCACAUCACACCUCUGGCUCAAAAGUCCAAAGGGAAUGCCAAUAUCUCAGCAGUUUACCAGAUAAGUUUAUCUUUAAGCACCAAAAUCAUUUUUCCUAAAAUAAAUUUCCCUAAAAUCUUAGGUUAUAAUACAGGUAAAAGCAGAAUAGCUUUGAUUGAAGUCUAAGUGGGAGGGCAGCCCCGGAGGCUGGUGUGAAAGCUUCCCUUUCAUUAUCACCCCUAUCUCCUCUCUAGCAUCCCUCCAACUGAAAUCAACUCAAUAAUCUGAUUUCUCAACAUCUGUCCCUGCCUCAUGGACCAUGUAUGCCAGCUAAUUUGUAUUCUUUUCCAUGGAUACUUAUUUCUCCUAUAUAUGUAUCCUAUAUAUGUAUCCAUCCUAUUGCUUCUUUCUGCACAGAGUAAUUAUGUCCUCUUCUAUUUGAAAACAUUUCUCUUGCCACCUUCAAAAUAAUUACAUUAAUUUUCUUCUCCUAAACAUACCAUCUCCUAGGCAUUCAUGUAUUGAAUUUAAAUACAAAAAUGCUACCAUAAAAACGUCACUAAUAAGGCUUAACUGGACCAGACUAGAGAAGAGAGUAGAGGUAAAUAGCUAACUUAUAUUAACAAGACAAUACGUUGCAAAUUGCAUGAAGUAACUACCAUUUCUAGGUGAAGACCCUGGCAGGACUACUUUGGAAAACAGGCAGGACUUGGCUAAAACAAUUGUUAGUGGUUGAUUAUCAAAAUUAAUGCUAACCUUCUAGAUUAGAAUGUUACUUACAAACGUAUUAUUAAUCUGUUUAUGUCCUUACUUGUAAAAUCAUCUCAUGUUGAUAAAUUAACCAAGGAAGAGACUUAGAAUAACAUAGCUCCAUUCAUAUAACACACACAACGUUAAGUCUAUGCUCAUUCAAACUUGAGCUCUGUAAGAAAGAACCUGCAUAUAUAAGGACUGAGUUUUCUAUAACCUAUAAUAAUCCUCACCACCUGGUACCUAGUAUACAUUCAAAUUCAGUUUGCAGGAAGAAAGAUAGCAUUUUGUAACCACCAAAGGUGUAAAUGUAAUUUGAUUAAGGCUAACUCCCAGCUUUUUGACUAACGGUUUCUCCAUAGGAAACUGAUUAUUUGGAAUAAGUCAGGGUAUAAAAGCAGUAACAAAAUUUAGAAUACUAGGCUAUAUAUUUUUUAAUAAAGGUGAAAAAACUGAACCAAGAGAAGUCUUUUU